UUGUGGGACUGAAUGGGGACCAGUGGCUGGAAUGAGGAAACGCAAUCAUAACCGCUCCUGGUGGCUUCAGUUUCUGCCCUGUGCCAAGCCUGAAUUUAGCACAGAGUUGCACGUCCAGAGCUGCUGGUGCCCGAGGCUGAGCCCCUUAGUUGUCUCUGCAGGGGAAGCUGGGCAUCCCUUUAGCUGAGGUGCCUCCGUGGCUGCCUGAGGGUGUCGGCUAAGGGGAAUGCUCCUUUGUGGUGGCUCGCGGUGUGGCUGGCCGGUGUGCCGUGUGUCCCCGUGGCCAAGCAGCACCACAAGGAACUGCCAGGCUGCCGAGCAAGGCCUGGCAGGUCAGGAUUGCGAACGAGAAAAAGCCGAAAGCUUAGCACAGUCCCGUCCGUGACUGGUUUCCAGCUUGCUAUCACAGCAUAAGCAACAACAACAUCAACGGAGUGAAAUGAAACAGUGGAUCUCACGAUGGCCUGAUGAGGUGUUCCUCCGUACGAGGAGCAGGAAGGCAGGCAGUCCGACUCACGGAGCUCCGUGCUACGCCUGUAGCCUGAGCACAAGCUCACUGCAAACGUCUGUCCCUGGGGACUCCCUGAUGUUCCGCUACCUUUCCAUCAGAGGAACAAGCUGUAGAAAAGAUGAGAAGAGGACAAACAUCACCCUUGCAAGCAGUACCUGCGGGAAGCUCUGACUCUGUGUGUUCCUCCUGGGCGCAGGUUCCUCGUUGCAGGUGGUGACGAGAGGGAUGGGGGAACUGCUGCACGGCCUCUGCUCCCAGAAAAUAUAACCAAAUACUUGUGAGUGAUUGAUGAUCAUACAGACCACAACAUGUAAACUGAGCAAAUUAUUUCCAGUUGUCGUAAUUUACCUGUGAGUAUUUUGAGGGUUGGCGAAUUAAAUUAUGGACUGGAUUGACUUGGCAGACAAGAUCAUUUGUUUUUUUGAGCUGUUCUGAGGUUCUUUCUCAUCUCCUGUCUUCUAAGUGAUAACUCUGUUCGUAUUGCUGAAUUUUAGAAUCUCUCCACUCUUGCAGGAGUUUGAACAGCUCCCUUGACUGUGCAGCACUUCUCUGCCUUGGUACUAGAGAUGUAAAAUUGAGUGAGUGAAAAAGUUAAAGCUGUCCUUCUGGGCGUGCUGCAGUUCUCUGGCUUCAGCGCUGUGCUCGCAGGUGUGGGGAGCUUUGGGUCUCAGCACCUCUACUUCACCAGCACCAGCUUUUAGCUCUGGGUUCAGACAAUGCAACCACGCUUGGCUCAGGCUCUACCUUCUGCACUUCAGGCACCGUCUCUCGUAUCCAGACAGCGUCCGCCCACCAAGUACCUUCUCCCCUUGCAUCCUUAUUCUGAGUGUCAGAAAUGCCAUGGGAUAAUUGCGGUGUCAUUGAACCUCUUGCUUUCCGGCCGAGUUUCAGAAGUGCAAAAUUAAAUGUAUUGAAAGCAAUUGAGGCCAUUGUGUCUUCCUGGUGAGCCAUGGUAACUGUCAGAGGCAGGAAUUAGUCUUGUCUGGAUACAGAAGAACAGAAAUGUUUAUCUAUUUCAGUGAGAGGUGAAAUAGAAUAUAUAGGCUGAAGCUAAAGUAUGCUAACAGGGUUGGCUGUAAUGAGAUUAUACGUCUUAUAAGCACUAAUGAUUAUAUUCCCAUUACUAAAAUAUACGUAGGGAAUGAAGACAAUUAUACUGCAAUCACUGUGG
ensembl:lncRNA